AGAGUUUGAUCAUGGCUCAGGAUGAACGCUAGCGGCAGGCUUAACACAUGCAAGUCGAGGGGUAACAGAGAAAAGCUUGCUUUUCUGCUGACGACCGGCGCACGGGUGCGUAACGCGUAUACAAUCUGCCUUAUACAGAGGGAUAGCCUUUAGAAAUGAAGAUUAAUACCUUAUAGUCUAUAUAUAUAGCAUUAUAUAAAUAGUAAAGCUUCGGUGGUAUAAGAUGAGUAUGCGUCCUAUUAGUUAGUUGGUGAGGUAACGGCUUACCAAGACAACGAUAGGUAGGGGCCCUGAGAGGGGGAUCCCCCACACUGGUACUGAGACACGGACCAGACUCCUACGGGAGGCAGCAGUGAGGAAUAUUGGACAAUGGAGGCAACUCUGAUCCAGCCAUGCCGCGUGCAGGAAGACGGCCCUAUGGGUUGUAAACUGCUUUUAUAUAGGAAGAAACC
rnacentral:rRNA from 1 species